UACGGAGGGUGCAAGCGUUAAUCGGAAUUACUGGGCGUAAAGGGUGCGUAGGUGGUUAGAUAAGUUAUCUGUAAAAUCCCCGGGCUUAACCUGGGCAGGUCAGAUAAGACUGUUUGACUCGAGUAUGGGAGAGGGUAGUGGAAUUUCCGGUGUAGCGGUGAAAUGCGUAGAUAUCGGGAGGAACACCAGUGGCGAAGGCGGCUACCUGGCCCACUCUUGACGCUGAGGCGCGAAAGCUAGGGGAGCAAACGGG
rnacentral:rRNA from 1 species